rnacentral:lncRNA from 1 species
GAUGAAUUGAGUCCAUAUCUGCAAGAGUAGUUCUAAUAAUUUACUGGUAUAAGUAUUUCAAUGACAUAUACUGCUCGUUAUCAAUGAGUUCAAAAGAAAAUAAAUCAAGUCUCACGCCUUUCAAGAUAUUUUUGCAGGAACAACUUCAUAUGGGAAAAUAACAUCUUGUAGUAUAGACGAUGGAACUAUUGUGGGUGUACAGUCUUCAACUGGAGCUCCAAUUAGUCGAUAUUUGGACAACCCCUUCCACCAUUGGAUCUCGUCUAGUGUUCCAAGUAGUUUAUCCUCUCUCGUUAGUGGAUCUAACAUGUCGUACUUUAUUCCUUCUAGUUCAUUGUUAUUCUUUUAGUUUUCUUAUGUUAGUUAAUAAAUUUUGUAGGUAGUAUGGUCCUUGGGAGACUAAGAUACAAUAACAAAUUUUGUAGUUAUUGUGACUCGAGUAUUAUGAUCUAUUUAUAUGUGAAG